AAAGAUAAAAAUUGAUGCAUAUCACAAAGCAGGUAUGCAUUUAUUGGCUUUAAAGGGAGUCUUUUUUUUUCUUAUAGUCAUAACAAGUGUUCAGAAUUUGCUGCCUGACUGGAUACCUUUAAGAAAAAUUCUAAAGGUUAUUAUCACUUUAACUUAAAUUCUAAAAUUAACCCCUACAAAAAUGCUAAAGAAAAAGAAGAAAAAAAGUUAGGGGGGAGACAGAGAGAGAGAUUUCAUAUCUAAAUUAUAUACUAAAACCUGCAAAACAAUAUGUGAUUGUUCUUAUGUUUUCCGAAGUUGAACAUGGAUUGAUUCAUGACUUAAGAUCUUUAGCCCCA
rnacentral:lncRNA from 1 species